rnacentral:rRNA from 1 species
GAACGAACGCGGGCGGCGUGCCUAAUACAUGCAAGUCGAGCGAGAAAGAGGUAGCAAUACCUUGAGUAAAGCGGCGAACGGGUGAGUAACACGUAAGAAACCUGCCUCUAAGUCUGGAACAACACUGCCAACGCGGUGCUAAUACCGGAUGUGAUCCCGCGAUCGCAUGAUUGUGUGAUCAAAGAUGACCUCUCCUUGGAAGUUAUCGCUUAGAGAUGGUCUUGCGCCCCAUUAGCUAGUUGGCGGGGUAAUAGCCCACCAAGGCUUUGAUGGGUAGCCGGUCUGAGAGGGCGAUCGGCCACAUUGGGACUGAGAUACGGCCCAGACUCCUACGGGAGGCAGCAGUAGGGAAUUUUGCGCAAUGGACGAAAGUCUGACGCAGCAACGCCGCGUGAGUGAUGAAGGUCUUCGGAUUGUAAAGCUCUGUUGAGUGGGAAGAAACUCCCGGGAAAUAAUACGUCUCGGGAUUGACGGUACCAUUCGAGUAAGCACCGGCUAACUACGUGCCAGCAGCCGCGGUAAUACGUAGGGAGCAAGCGUUGUUCGGAUUUACUGGGCGUAAAGGGAGCGUAGGCGGAUCAGCAAGUUGGGAGUGAAAUCCACAGGCACAACCUGUGGGUUGCUUCCAAAACUGCUGAUCUUGAGUAUGGGAGAGGAUGAUGGAAUUCCAGGUGUAGCGGUGGAAUGCGUAGAUAUCUGGAAGAACACCAGUUGCGAAGGCGGUCAUCUGGCCCAAUACUGACGCUGAGGCUCGAAAGCUAGGGGAGCAAACAGGAUUAGAUACCCUGGUAGUCCUAGCCGUAAACGAUGGACACUAGUUGUUGGGGGGAUUUCUCCUUCAGUGACGUAGCUAACGCGUUAAGUGUCCCGCCUGGGGAGUACGCCCGCAAGGGUGAA